ensembl:lncRNA
AUAUGCCUUGCGCGGAGAGGUGUGGGGCGUCACUAAAUGGUGUCCUCCCAGGGGCAUGAGUUCUUAAAUUAAAGUUCCAUGGGAUAAGGUCCCUCCCUUCCUUCCACAGACAACCCUCAAUCCGUUAAAUUUCUGACUGGCUCCAUGACCUAGCUGUUCACGCGAAUUGUUUGGGACUCUUUGUGCAGGAAGUGAAUCAUUGACAGAGGAAAUAAGUUCCGCGGGACGGAAAUGUAACCUACGUCGAAGAUGUCCAUUCAGGAUGCGCCUGCGAGGUGGACUCUACAAUUGUGCUUGUUUUUUCAGAUUUGUACUAUCUCCCUAAAUCCCUUCCUUCUUUCACCCCAGAGUCUAGAGACGAGAGAAUUUGGCUAUUAUGUGUCCCAAAUGCCCAUUGGAUGGUGGACAUUUCCUCAAUAGACAUAGACAUACAUAUAUUUAGUUAGGUAUCCAAAGACGUAUUUAAAUAUAUUAAAAUAUGUACAUAUUCUAUAUAAAGAUUACGUAGAUCUUGACAUAGCUACAUAAUAUGGAAUAUGUAUGUGAGGACUAUGGGUUCUUAAGGUGGGAUCCUGGUGUGCUGGAGCCAGCUGCUAUCUCUCAUUGUUAAACUUUCUGGAAAUCAAGCAAAACUUGCAAAUCAGAAAUUGAUUCUUCGUUUUGUAAUGCAAGGAAAAGAUGGAGAAAAUGAUAAUAAUGUAUAUUAAACUUAAAAGUGCAUCGUGCCUGUUUCCAGAUGCCUCAGAGCCAGAUUACCUAGCUUCUGGACACGAAAGCUCCCUGGCUGGAAGCACCGUGCCUUCUUGCUCGUGCCCACCAAAGAGUAAUUUUAGGAUAAGAAACUCGCUACCUCCCCGAAUCAAGAAAGUGAACAGCUUGGAGAAGGUGCCAUGAAGAAGCCUGCAGAAACCACACACUGCACCAAAAGAUCCAGAAUGAACUUUAGGAUGUAGUGAAAUUGAACUGUGGGGGGUUGAACACAUUGAUUUUGAAUGUACACUCUUCUGCCAAAGGGGACUGCCCCCUAAUUGGCUUGUCAAUGAGCCUAGCAAACAUUGGUUUUGCUCUCUCUCUUCUAUUUUUCUCAUCUCUAUUAUAGUUUCCUCUUAGAAAGUGCAAUAUUGAGACUUCCGGGUAAUCAUGGCUGCAAUCUAGACGCGGCACGCUUUCUCUCCCCAGCACCGAACGAAAUAGACUACAUCAAAGGAGCAUAAAAUCACCUUUGGAGGAACAGAAGGACUCCCCAGUACCCCACAGAGGCAAAGGUACAUGGGGCUUGAACAUUUCCACACUAAAAUAAGAAGGAAAAGCUUGCACAGAAAAGUGAACUGAGCCGCCCUUCCCCCACCCCACCUCCCCCACUAAACCAGAGUGAGCUACCUGAGCGCUCACCGGGACAGCGAGUGAGUGGGGAGCGUCUCUGUCUGGGGGGGCACUCCAGGGUCCUUGGGAUCUGGGGACUGCCAGGAAAAAACGUCUCAGGGCGCUUUCACUGGAGAAGCCAGCGGACCUGGACUUGGGGCGGGCUGCGCUGAACAACGCGCGCUGAUUAUCUGGGCGGAGCUGAAUACCUGGGCUCGGAGGCUGGGAAGAACUAGUCUGAAGCAACCUAAAUUCACAGAAAAACCACUCUUAUAACCCAGACCCCAGACCAAAAAGGAAAGGGAAAUAAAACCACCAAAGGGAUGGCUCA